UGGGGCGUAGCCAAACGGUAAGGCAGCGGACUUUGGAUCCGCCAUGUGUUGGUUCGAAUCCAGCCGCCUCAGCCA
rnacentral:tRNA from 1 species